rnacentral:rRNA from 1 species
UCGGGAAUUUUGGGCAAUGGGCGAAAGCCUGACCCAGCAACGCCGCGUGAAGGAUGAAGCUUUUCGGAGUGUAAACUUCAUAAGAAUGGGACGAAUAAGGAGGGGUUAACACCCCCUUUGAUGACGGUACCAUUUGUAAGCUCCGGCUAACUCCGUGCCAGCAGCCGCGGUAAUACGGGGGGAGCAAGCGUUGUUCGGAUUUACUGGGCGUAAAGGGCGCGUAGGCGGCGCAACAAGUCACUUGUGAAAUCUCCGGGCUUAACCCGGAGCGGCCAAGUGAUACUGUCGUGCUAGAGUGCGGAAGGGGCUACUGGAAUUCUCGGUGUAGCGGUGAAAUGCGUAGAUAUCGAGAGGAACACCUGCGGCGAAGGCGGGUAGCUGGGCCGACACUGACGCUGAGGCGCGAAAGCCAGGGGAGCGAACGG